GCACCUACGCACAGUGUAUCUGCGUUCUGCAUGGAGACAAUGAACACUCCCCAUAGAGAUGCAUUGAUUUUAUAUAACUCUGUGAGGAGAUAGUGAUUGGUGCUUUGCUGUGCAUGUGCAAUAACCUCAUUGGAUUGACAUAGAUCAUCAAGAUUUACUAUCUCAGCCAUGGAGUCCACCUCCAGCCAUGGCGAGAUCGGCGUGGCGCUGGAAAAAAGGAGAGUUAACUAAC